rnacentral:tRNA from 1 species
GCCGCCGUGGCGGAAUAGGCAGACGCAGCGGACUUAAAAUCCGCUUCCGGAUACGGAGUACCGGUUCAAGUCCGGUCGGCGGCACCA